ACAUAGGUGCAAGGCAUAGAAUUUAAUAUUUCAUCCAUACUAUUGGAUGAACAUAGGCAAUUCAAGACAUCAUUAUCAAAGCCAAUAGUAUCUUGAGAGUUUAAUGUGUACCUGGACCUUGGAGCUUUUUCAACAAGAGUCAUUUUUGGUUUGUCUACUGGAGUUGAAAGCAGAUUGAUCUCGACAAUUGGAGGUGGUUCUUCAUCAUCAUAUUGCAAUCCCUCCGGCUCUCCAUCAUGUGGAUCAUGCAGUUCAUUAGCAAUAUUAGCAAUCACUUCUUCUUCGAAGUCUCAUUAUUUGGGAUCUCACCCACAUCUUCAUCUUCAAAAUCUUUUGUCUCGCCUUCAUUAUCUUCCAUGUGACACAUGUCAUCAAGAUUAUUUGUUGUAAACUCACUCUUUUCUUCAUCUUUGAGCACUACCAUGUUCUGAUUCUCUGGUCUUUCAGUUUCAAUAGCACACAAGCUAUAAACCUUCGCACUGUGUGCUCUUGUUUUCUAAAAUUUAUCCUUUGAAACUUCAACCAUAUCACCAGAAUUAUUAGAGAAUAGAUCUUGAAAUAUUUAUGCACUUGUCUUCAAAUUGGGAGUGAUUCCCAUCUCAUCAGGUCUUCUCUUCAUUGUCUUUCUUUCUUCGUCAGGCAACAACCAUUUGAGUUGUUCUAGUGACUCUAAUCCUUCUUCUGCAACUAGUGUUCAUGAUGCUAUAGAGGGGGAUCUUUUAGACUCAUCAUGUUUCUAUUCUUCUCAUGCUUCAUUGUCUAUUUUUGAAAUAUCAUUUUGAUCGAUCCAUCCUUCCUCCUGUUCUUCUUCAAAUAUUUUUUGGAUCGACUGCCCACUCAUCUCUUGAUCAAAUAUAUCAUCAAUCUUUCUAGCUUUGCUUCAUUGUUUCUUAUGUCGCACGUUGUGGUAUAAAGGGCCAAAAUCAUUUGGUCCAAUGGUCUAGCAUUCUCAAAACUUCAGCUUGCAUUCAUGUUAGUUUCAGCAGUUUUAAUAUGUGUAAGGACUUCUCUUACCUCAGGAAGUGGUUCUUUGAUUUUUAGUGUGGUCAGUUCAUCUUCCUUGAGCUCUGGUUCAUCUUUUUCAAAAAUUUCAGCAAGCAUCUCGGACGUGCUUUAGUCGUUUUGCUCCUCCUGGCAGAGUUUCUGCCAUUCUUGUUCCACUCUCUCUGCAUUGGUUAUCCUUUGUAAGAUCUGUGUAGCUUCUCUAAUUAUUUUCUCCAUGAAAUUACCUCCUGCACACAUUCUUACAUACUGGGCAGAGUGAGGGGUUAGUGAAAAAUAAAAUGAAUGCAACAUCAUGUCACCAGAAAUUCCUAAGUUCGGACCUUGCUCGAGUACUCCAUUAAAUCGGUUCCAGGCUUCACCAAAUCCCUCAUCCUCUCCUUGCUUGAAACAAAUCACUUGCCUCCUCAAACAUUGGACCUUACUUAAGGGAAAAUAUUGUAUGUAGAAUUCCUUCAUGAGCUCGUCGCAUUUUCCCUUCACUUCAGUAGAUGCAAGUGUGUACCAUCU
rnacentral:lncRNA from 1 species